AGCGNANCGACNACAUUGACCCUUCGGNUGAUUUGUUGGGCGUCGAGCGGCGGACGGGUGAGUAAUGCCUGGGAAAUUGCCCUGAUGUGGGGGAUAACCAUUGGAAACGAUGGCUAAUACCGCAUAAUGUCUACGGACCAAAGAGGGGGACCUUCGGGCCUCUCGCUUCAGGAUAUGCCCAGGUGGGAUUAGCUAGUUGGUGAGGUAAUGGCUCACCAAGGCGACGAUCCCUANCUGGUCUGAGAGGAUGAUCAGCCACACUGGAACUGAGACACGGUCCAGACUCCUACGGNNNNNANCAGUGGGGAAUAUUGCACAAUGGGCGCAAGCCUGAUGCAGCCAUGCCGCGUGUAUGAAGAAGGCCUUCGGGUUGUAANGUACUUUCAGUCGUGNNGAAGGCGUUGNAGUUANUAGCUUCAUCGUUUGACGUUAGCGAC
rnacentral:rRNA from 1 species